rnacentral:sRNA from 1 species
UAGUCAGGGAUUGGUUCUUUCCUUCCACCGUGUGUGUUCUGCAGAUCAAGCUCAGGUUGGGCUCAGCGGCAGAAGCCUUUGCCUUAAGAGUUACAAUUCCCCAAAAUAAAGGACUGGGUUCUUUGGUUUUUGUUUGUACUCAGGUGUUGGGAGAUUGGACUCGGGAUUUUAUCCAGGCAUUUUAUCAGACUUCUGAUUAUGCAAAAGGUUUAUAUGUCCUAAAAGUAGAAACUAUGUUAAAAAUCUUGCUCAGAAAAGUUGUGGUUCUUUGCAUGUUCUGUGUUCUGUUACUGGAUAUUGGAGUCUCUUCUGGCUGCUGUCACAAACACUGACACCCACUUACCCUGUUCCUAACCAUUCUCAUGCUGGUGGGGGCCACUUCGGUUCAUAGCCAGUACCUUUGUUCUGUGUUCUGUGAGGCAUGAACUCUGAAUCUCUCUCAUGAGUACACUGAAUGCACACAGGUUUUGCCUCUCAGCUGCUGUCACUUUCUUGAUAACCCAUCUCCUGUCCCUAUGGAUUCUGUAACUGUGAGGUGAGGAUUUCAAGUAGGAGCUUUAAAGGGGAAUGGAUACUUCACUCAUGGUACUAUUCCCCCUGUUCCCAGUCAGGGACUAUUUGUAGACAUAAAGGUACUUACUUUUCUGUGCGUAUACAGAAAGUGGUAUAGUUUUAUUUGUGUCCUUCCUCACUUGCCAGUAUAGUACAGAAGUUAUCAGCAUAUAGAGUCUCUCUUUGUCUUUUGGGGUAUGAAGGUUGGCUUUGCCUUAGCUAUUUUGCAAAUGGCAUCUCAGUGCGUUAUCCCAUGCAGUGAUGGACUGCUGCCUGUGGGUCCUGCUCCUUUACGCGGAGGAGGGUAAGUAGCCAGUGGAUCGCAGUAGAAUCCUGCUUGAUUCUCUUUACCUGGCCAGAUUUUGCACUUCUGUAGUGGUUGUGCUCUGGCAUUCUGCUGUUUUGUGUUGCACACAACAUGAGCAGCUCCUGUAAGGCUUGUCCCUGUGUAGCAUUUGCUUAUCUUGGGCUGACUCGGCCGACUGUUUAAUAUUAUUUGUUUGCCUGCUUGCUUAUUUAUUUUCAGGCAGCAUCUUACUAUGUAGUUCUGUUGAAACUACAGAGCAGGCUAGAAGUAAAGGUGGUGGGCACUACUGUGCUUGGUGCGCAUUUGUAUUCUUAAGUUUUGCCUUCUUUUUCCUUAAAGUGGGUAUGUUGCCUUCUACGGUUUUUCUACUUUUAUUUAUUUAUUUUUUUAGCCCAGCUUCAGAUUCGAAUUCUGUUAUUCCGCUAUAGCGUGGGUCUCUGACUUGCUGCUGCUUCCAGUCAGCUUGAGGUCUCCUUUUAAGUACAGGCUGGGUCAGCCAGAAACCCAAGGGCUCAUUCGAUGUGGGUUCCACAGUUCUGAGUACCGUUAGCAUGGCUGCUCUUAGAGUUGUUUUCUUCAGGGGCUUGGGUAAUCUGUAGCUUCCUAGACUGUCCUCACAUAAGUAGUUUAAAAACCAUAAUGCUUGAGUCCCUUAGAUUACCGUCUUCAUAGCAGACCAGGACACGGGCUGCUCUGUCUUUGAUCUGGGUAGUUAGUGCGUUCUCUCUUGGCUCUCUUGUUGGGGAUAUUCUGGGGUAUUCAUCUACCUCCACGUCCACAGGCUGUUGGAUACGCAGUUCAGACCCAGGCUUCCCCUUCUUGGUUUGGGUUGGACUUUUGCCUGAAUUCUGAGUGUGCACUUGGGUGUGCACAGGUGUCUAGAGCAGGUUCUUGUGCGGGCUUCAUCCUCCACAGAGGUAGGUCCUGCCUGCAUCACACACUUCAUUCCGCACACCUGCCGCUCUUCUCUGACUCUGCUGUCUUAGGUGUGUGUGUGGUAGUCAUUCCCAAGCACCACAGCUGGGCUGGCCAAUAGCAGCAAGCUCUGGAUGUGCAGUGUGGCCAGUCCCAGACCUGCCUGUGGACCUCAAAGUGCCCAUGUAAUCCUAGGCAGCUCCUUGUUGUCAUGUAGGACAGUUUCCAGGUCUUUUCUGCUUGUCAGCCCUGCCCUGUGCAGCAAAGGCCUUCUCUGCCAUGCAGUACUCAUACCAGAGGAGCUUCUCACACACAGAAUCUCUCUCUGUGAGACAACUGUUUAAAUGGCUCAAGAGUUAGCACGGCUCAUCAAGCAAAUCUUGAUCCUACAGUCCCUGUGUGCUCAGAAACAACCAGAGAGUCUGGGCAGAGUUGUGGGGCAGUGACACUUAGAACCCUGUCCUCCUCUCUGUCCCAGGUUAGCAUUGUGCUCCUACUCUGACAGUGCGGGAUUUAGUGCAGCAUGGCCUGUGGCUGUCCUCAGGCUGUGACAGAAAUCUGCUUUGCUGAACCCUGAGUUGUCACUGUGGGCCACAGAAGAAAGUUCUUUAAUCCAGGCAGAGCCACUGUCCAGUUCCCGAUUUUCAAGACUGCGGGGCUGGUGUCUGGGGUAAGGCCAUGACCUGAAAUGGUCACUGACUGCAGCCUAUCAUUGACCUUUCUGCUUUCCCCUCAAAGGAUGGAGAGGUGUACUGCAUUGAUGCUCGGUUCUACGGGAAUGUCAGCCGGUUCAUAAACCACCACUGCGAGCCCAACCUUGUGCCUGUGCGAGUGUUCAUGUCACACCAGGACCUACGGUUUCCCAGGAUUGCCUUCUUCAGCACCCGCCUGAUUCAGGCUGGGGAACAGCUGGGGUUUGACUAUGGGGAACGCUUUUGGGACGUCAAGGGCAAGCUCUUCAGUUGCCGGUGUGGGUCUCCCAAGUGUCGGCACUCAAGUGCAGCCCUGGCCCAGCGGCAAGCCAGUGCAGCCCAGGAGGCUCAGGAGAAUGGCCUUCCAGAUACCAGCUCUGCAGCUGCUGCUGACCCCCUAUGAAUUGACAGUGGGGCCAGUGGGACCCUCAAAAUCAGGUUCUGGUGACUGCAAUUUAGGGAGGAAGAAAGUCUGCACAUGUCCAAGAGGAGCUGGAGGUGUGGACACCUCCCAGGAAUGUUCUGAGCCUGAGGCGUUGAUCUCAACUGGCCGAGUGCUCAGGGCAGAGCAUGCCUCUGGUCCUGCACCUCAGAGACCUGGGACUCCAUGUUGCAUAACUCGUGAGUUAUUGGUGGUGACUCUGCUGCAGCGCUUCCCACGUCUCCCUUUGGUCUCCGAGGCCCUUGCUCCACUGCCAGUUUUGUUUGUAUACUGUCUGGUCAUGCUCCUGUAUGGCACUCACCGAGGCCACCGUCACCUACAAGCUGCUCCGUUAGGCCUGCUGCCCACAGCCUGUGUUGCUGGCACCAGCCCCCGUGUGCCACUGGAGGACACUAGCUCCCUCAGCCCUGGGGAGUUUGGUGACACCACUCACUGACGAACUGUGGGUUUGCUUUUUAAAGAGACCCCGUAUGUAGCCCUAUAUAUGAAGCCUCUUACUGGUGUUUCUUUGCAAGGAAGAAGGUUGGUGUGUGCAGGCAGACCCUGCAUUGGCCCAGCCAGUUCCGUUGACGCAGGCACCUUUUGUUGAUUUCUAAGCCACAUGUUAUGAUGAUGGAUAAACUCGUUUGUUUUUUACCAUUACUGAACAUUAGGACAAACAAGGAAUAAAAACACAAAACACAGACAACGGUGCUGAAUCUGGUGUGGUUUCUACUCACCACAUGAAAAUAAACUAUCAACUGUAAAAAAAGAACAAAAUGAUUUUAGAAUAAAGUGCAGGAAAAACUUUUUUAAAAUGUUAGUCUUGUAGUUGAAUAAAUUUGCCAUCACCUUUUGUGUGAUGGCCUGGCAGGUCAUGUACUUUUUUUUGGCAUAUACCUUUCUAAAUACUGUAAUUAGUGCAGCAACAGUGGUUUUUUUGGUGUGACUCUUCUAAAACAUUCAUAAUGCAGUCAUGUUUAUUUUUUUCUGUUAAAAUGUUUUUUGACAGUUUUAAGAGCAGUCUUUUGGCUCAGACCAUUUCUUGUUCUGUUUUCAAUGAAAUCAAUAAAAAAAAAAGUACUUUAAAUGGA